GUGGUAAUGGUUUAGAAUGUGUAAAAAGUUAUCAAUAUUUAGGCUUAUUACUGACUGAAUGUUUAGAUUAUCAGUUAAUGGCUAAGGCAGUAGCGAAGUCAGCCAGUAGAGCAUUAGGAUUAUUAAUUGUAAAGAGUAAAACGCAUGGUGGUUUCCAGCACAAAAUUUUUUCAAAGCUGUAUGAUACAAUGGUAUGGUCAGUUAUUAGUUAUGGUGCAGGUAUUUGGGGAACCAGAGACUUUUCCUGCAUAAAUGCAGUCCAAAACAGGGC
rnacentral:lncRNA from 1 species